rnacentral:misc_RNA from 1 species
AAAUCUUCAAAGUAGACCUUUUGUUAAUUCAAUUGGUUCCUUACUUUGGUAUUGGAGGUCUUUGCAGCUUCACACCUGCUCCUCUUUGUUCAUUAGCUGGAUCUCAGUGUUAUGCUUGGUUCCACUCAGCGUGAUAAGUAUCUAUCGCUGAGGACACUGUAAAAAGUGGCCAAGGUAAAUGCAGAUGAACCGCUUCUAACAGUCCAUUGACUUGGACAAUUAAUUUUUAUG